rnacentral:lncRNA from 1 species
UAUGAUUAAACCAAUUAGGGAACGUUCUCUAAUUAAUUACUAAUUAACAAAUUGCCAAGGAACGUCCUUGGGCCUUAGGCAUCAAAACAAUUGUCAAUUGCAUUAAGAAAUAGAGAGAUCCAAUCCUAGCUACUCAAACGUAUGGAGAUAAUGCUAGAUCAAACAAUUUCCUUGGGUUUUAUCCCAAAUAUUCUCAUGUAAGAAUAACCCAAGCAAUUACGGACUUAAAUUAUUCAAACUAACAAAUAAUUAUUUUGCAAUAAAAAAUCAACGUAGAUUUCAAUAACAAAAUAAUAUGAGAAUUAAAUAUGAAAUUGCAUGAAUAUUAAAUUCCCAAAAUUAAACAAUAUUUGAUCAAGUCUCACAACCCGUUAAACAACUAAAGUUUCAACCAAUGUUCAACUAGAUGAAGAAAUCAGCCACUCAUUGGCUGAAUUAAAAACAUAAAAAUAAAAAGGAAAAAAAGAAAGAAAAGAAAAGAAGGAACCGCCCAGAAGCCUUGCGGAAAUUACCGAG